UAGGGCGGGACACGUGAUAUCCUGUCUGAAUAUGGGGGGACCAUCCUCCAAGGCUAAAUACUACUGACUGACCGAUAGUGAACCAGUACCGUGAGGGAAAGGCGAAAAGAACCCCUGUGAGGGGAGUGAAAUAGAACCUGAAACCGUGUACGUACAAGCAGUAGGAGCACCUUCGUGGUGUGACUGCGUACCUUUUGUAUAAUGGGUCAGCGACUUAUAUUCAGUAGCAAGGUUAACCAUCUAGGGGAGCCGUAGAGAAAUCGAGUCUUAACUGGGCGUCGAGUUGCUGGAUAUAGACCCGAAACCAGGUGAUCUAGCCAUGGGCAGGUUGAAGGUUGAGUAACAUCAACUGGAGGACCGAACCGACUAAUGUUGAAAAAUUAGCGGAUGACUUGUGGCUAGGGGUGAAAGGCCAAUCAAACCUGGAGAUAGCUGGUUCUCCCCGAAAUCUAUUUAGGUAGAGCCUCGGACGAAUACUACUGGGGGUAGAGCACUGUUAAGGCUAGGGGGUCAUCCCGACUUACCAACCCUUUGCAAACUCCGAAUACCAGUAAGUACUAUCCGGGAGACACACGGCGGGUGCUAACGUCCGUCGUGGAGAGGGAAACAACCCAGACCGCCAGCUAAGGUCCCAAAUUAUUACUAAGUGGGAAACGAUGUGGGAAGGCUUAGACAGCUAGGAUGUUGGCUUAGAAGCAGCCAUCAUUUAAAGAAAGCGUAAUAGCUCACUAGUCGAGUCGGCCUGCGCGGAAGAUGUAACGGGGCUAAGUAA
rnacentral:rRNA from 1 species